rnacentral:rRNA from 1 species
UACAGAGGCCUCAAGCGUUAAUCGGAAUCACUGGGCUUAAAGGGUGCGUAGGCGGCGCUGCAAGUGCCUUGUGAAAUCCCAUCGCUUAACGAUGGAACUGCUCGGUAGACUGCAGUGCUUGAGGUUGGUAGGGGCUGCCGGAACUCUAGGUGGAGCGGUGAAAUGCGUAGAUAUCUAGAGGAACGCCCAAGGCGAAGGCAGGCAGCUGGGCCAAUUCUGACGCUGAGGCACGAAAGCGUGGGGAGCAAACGGG